GUACAUAGAUCACUCGAUGCAUGCUGAGACAUAAAUUCACAUUUCUACCACUUCGGAAAGUAUCAAUAUCCUACAUGUAAAAUGGACUAGAAGAUACUGAAAAUAUUAAUGGUUUUAUACAAUAUGGCAAUACAGCAGAUCACUCAAGGCUUGCUGAGACAUGACUACGCAUUCAUACCAGUUGAGAAAAUAUCAUCAUCCUACGUUGAAAAUUAACUAGAAGAUACUGAUAAUUAUAUAGGUUUUAUGCAAUAUGGCAGUACAUAGAUCACUCGAUGCAUGCUGAGACAUGAAUUCACAUUUCUACCACUUCGGAAAGUAUCAAUAUCCUACAUGUAAAAUGGACUAGAAGAUACUGAAAAUAUUAAUGGUUUUAUACAAUGUACGUGUAAUGGUUAUCGACUGUAAUUGAUAUUUAAUUAAGAGUAGUGUGACAAUAAGUUAAUGCCGAGAAAUUCUGACAAUUACAUGAAGAAAGAAAUUCAAAUUUUGUAUUACUAACUUUCAUUAAUUUCAUUUAAGCUUAUACUUCAUAAACACUAUAAAACGUGUAUUUAUAUGAUAAUUUAGACAAAUAUAAAAAUUCAUAUUUUUAACUGCUUAAAAAACACUCAAUUCUCACGUUAGUCACAUCAA